rnacentral:rRNA from 1 species
UACGUAGCGGGCAAGCGUUGUCCGGAUUUAUUGGGCGUAAAGAGCGUGUAGGCGGCCAUACAGGUCCGUUGUGAAAACUGGAGGCUUAACCUCCAGACGUCGAUGGAAACCGUAUGGCUAGAGUCCGGAAGAGGAGUGUGGAAUUCCUGGUGUAGCGGUGAAAUGCGCAGAUAUCAGGAAGAACACCUAUGGCGAAGGCAGCACUCUGGGACGGUACUGACGCUGAGACGCGAAAGCGUGGGGAGCGAACAGG